AUAUCUAUAUUAUUAAAUAUAUUAAAUAAUACUUUUAUUUUAAAAGUCAAACAGGAACAAGAACAUACAUGUAACAAACAAAAGAUGACAUAACCUACUUUUUUCUAACUGUUGUCACAGGGAUGAAGAAAAGUAAUAUGGUACCAACACUACAAGUGUUAUAUUCGUGAUACGUAUUAUUUUUUUAAUCAAAUGAGGAUCAGGCUCUUCAUUUGCAAGGCAGAAAACAUCAGAAAUUUGCAAUUUUAUUUUUGUGUAUACUAUCUUAAACCCAUGUUAUUUUAUAAAUAUUUAGAAUUUAUAAAUUAUAUUAUUGUUUUUAGUUAAUUCGUAUGUAAUAUUUUAACUACCAUUAAAUGUUGUUAUUUCAUUUCAUUUUCAUGAAGUAUUAUAAAUGUAAUUAUUAAUUAUCAUCGAUUCGAUAGCAUCAAAUACUUGUUAAUUGUUAAUGUUAAUUUGUAUAAUAUAAAAAGAUAUCUAACAGACUACUUGUUGGUCAGUGUUCCAUCGAUAUCAAUGGCACAACUUAAAGGAAAAGUGCUGUAUCAAUCCAAAAUUAUUUACAUAUUGUUAUACAAAAAUAUUUCUUUUGGUGCAAAAAAAUGAAUUUAGUACCCCAAAACAUGUUAUUCUAAUUGCAUCAAUGAAAAAUCUAAGACAAAUAAAAAAUUGUAUCAAAUAUUAGUGUACAAUCAAUAAUCAUGAAUUUUACAGAAUUUUUUUUCUUCAAGACACACAAGAACCAUUAUACACAUAC